ACUACGGUGCUGAAGUAACAAAUGCCCUGCUUCCAGGAAAAGCCUCUAAGCAUCAGGUAACAUUAAAUCGUACCCCAAACCGACACAGGUGGUCAGGUAGAGAAUACCAAGGCGCUUGAGAGAACUCGGGUGAAGGAACUAGGCAAAAUGGUGCCGUAACUUCGGGAGAAGGCACGCUGGUGUGUAGGUGAAGUCCCUGCGGAUGGAGCUGAGACCAGUCGAAGAUACCAGCUGGCUGCAACUGUUUAUUAAAAACACAGCACUGUGCAAACACGAAAGUGGACGUAUACGGUGUGACGCCUGCCCGGUGCCGGAAGGUUAAUUGAUGGGGUUAUCCGUAAGGAGAAGCUCUUGAUCGAAGCCCCGGUAAACGGCGGCCGUAACUAUAACGGUCCUAAGGUAGCGAAAUUCCUUGUCGGGUAAGUUCCGACCUGCACGAAUGGCGUAAUGAUGGCCAGGCUGUCUCCACCCGAGACUCAGUGAAAUUGAACUCGCUGUGAAGAUGCAGUGUACCCGCGGCAAGACGGAAAGACCCCGUGAACCUUUACUAUAGCUUGACACUGAACAUUGAGCCUUGAUGUGUAGGAUAGGUGGGAGGCUUUGAAGCGUGGACGCCAGUCUGCGUGGAGCCAACCUUGAAAUACCACCCUUUAAUGUUUGAUGUUCUAACGUUGGCCCCUUACCGGGGUUGCGGACAGUGUCUGGUGGGUAGUUUGACUGGGGCGGUCUCCUCCCAAAGCGUAACGGAGGAGCACGAAGGUUAGCUAAUCCUGGUCGGACAUCAGGAGGUUAGUGCAAUGGCAUAAGCUAGCUUGACUGCGAGCGUGACGGCGCGAGCAGGUGCGAAAGCAGGUCAUAGUGAUCCGGUGGUUCUGAAUGGAAGGGCCAUCGCUCAACGGAUAAAAGGUACUCCGGGGAUAACAGGCUGAUACCGCCCAAGAGUUCAUAUCGACGGCGGUGUUUGGCACCUCGAUGUCGGCUCAUCACAUCCUGGGGCUGAAGUAGGUCCCAAGGGUAUGGCUGUUCGCCAUUUAAAGUGGUACGCGAGCUGGGUUUAGAACGUCGUGAGACAGUUCGGUCCCUAUCUGCCGUGGGCGCUGGAGAAUUGAGGGGGGCUGCUCCUAGUACGAGAGGACCGGAGUGGACGCAUCACUGGUGUUCGGGUUGUCAUGCCAAUGGCACUGCCCGGUAGCUAAAUGCGGAAGAGAUAAGUGCUGAAAGCAUCUAAGCACGAAACUUGCCCCGAGAUGAGUUCUCCCUGAGACUUUAAGUCUCCUGAAGGAACGUUAAAGACGAUGACGUUGAUAGGCCGGGUGUGUAAGCGCAGCGAUGCGUUGAGCUAACCGGUACUAAUGAACCGUGAGGCUUAACCUU
rnacentral:rRNA from 1 species